CCUACGGGUUGCAGCAGUGGGGAAUAUUGCACAAUGGGCGCAAGCCUGAUGCAGCCAUGCCGCGUGUAUGAAGAAGGCCUUCGGGUUGUAAAGUACUUUCAGCGGGGAGGAAGGCGAUAAGGUUAAUAACCUUGUCGAUUAACGUUACCCGCAGAAGAAGCACCGGCUAACUCCGUGCCAGCAGCCGCGGUAAUACGGAGGGUGCAAGCGUUAAUCGGAAUUACUGGGCGUAAAGCGCACGCAGGCGGUCUGUCAAGUUGGAUGUGAAAUCCCCGGGCUCAACCUGGGAACUGCAUUCGAAACUGGCAGGCUAGAGUCUUGUAGAGGGGGGUAGAAUUCCAGGUGUAGCGGUGAAUUGCGUAGAGAUCUGGAGGAAUACCGGUGGCGAAGGCGGCCCCCUGGACAAAGACUGACGCUCAGGUGCGAAGGCGUGGGGAGCAAACAGGAUUAGAUACCCCUGUAGUC
rnacentral:rRNA from 1 species